UGGGGAAUUUUCCGCAAUGGGCGAGAGCCUGACGGAGCAACGCCGCGUGAGGGAGGACGGCCUGUGGGUUGUAAACCUCUUUUCUCAGGGAAGAAGGAUCUGACGGUACCUGAGGAAUCAGCAUCGGCUAACUCCGUGCCAGCAGCCGCGGUAAGACGGAGGAUGCAAGCGUUAUCCGGAAUUAUUGGGCGUAAAGCGUCCGUAGGUGGCCGUUCAAGUCUGCUGUCAAAGCCCACAGCUCAACUGUGGAGAGGCAGUGGAAACUGAAUAGCUAGAGUGUGGUAGGGGUAGAGGGAAUUCCUAGUGUAGCGGUGAAAUGCGUAGAUAUUAGGAAGAACACCAGUGGCGAAGGCGCUCUACUGGGCCAACACUGACACUGAUGGACGAAAGCUAGGGGAGCGAAAGGGAUUAGAUACCCCCGUAGUCC
rnacentral:rRNA from 1 species